rnacentral:rRNA from 1 species
CAAUAGCGUAUAUUAAAGUUGUUGCAGUUAGAACGCUCGUAGUCGGAUUUCGGGGCGUUCCGACCGGUCUGCCGAUGGGUAUGCACUGGCCGGAGUGUCCUUUUUGCCGGAGACCGUGCCUACUCUUAACUGAGCGGGGGCGGGAGACGGCACUUUUACUUUGAAAAAAUCAGAGUGUUUCAAGCAGGCAGCUCGCUCUUGCAUGGAUUAGCAUGGGAUAAUGAAGUAGGACUUUGGUGCUAUUUUGUUGGUUUCGAACACCGAAGUAAUGAUGAGAAGGGACAGUCAGGGGCACUCGUAUUCCGCAGAGAGAGGUGAAAUUCUCAGACCCGCGGAAGACGAACCACUGCGAAAGCAUUUGCCAGGGAUGUUUUCACUGA